rnacentral:siRNA from 1 species
CAAGUGUUAUAUUUUGAUUGGUU